CGUUUCUUCCUUUCAUAGGAAGUGACGAGUGAUUUGCAUCAAUAACAAUACACGGGCUUUGUUCUUUACUUCGAUCUCGUUAUUCCGUUUUAUUGCGUGGUUGAAUUUGGGCUUUCUUCAAAGUGAAGUAAGGUGGAAGAAGAUCAUUUCUUGAAAUAUAAGGUAAGAAUUAUUCUCUCCUAGGUAUAUUUAAAUUCAUCCAGGUCACAGUUAAAUUGUGAGAUGAGAACUACGAAAUUAAUGACGGAAAUCGGACAAGUUGAUGUUGUUGUUGUCGUGUUGUUGUUGUUACUGCUGAUGUGGUUGUUGUUAUAAUUGUUUGUUGGUAUUGUAAUUUCAGGCUAGGAAUAUAAACAGAGGAGAUGUUGCUCGAAUUUCGGCAAAAUUCUUAAAGGAUUUAAUUUGGAGACUUAAGAUAAGUGUAUGACGACAAGCCUAAUAAUAGUAUGAAUGGUUUUAUAUGUAGAUUAUGAGACUAUGAAUGAUCUUACAUAGAUUGCAAGACAAGAAGUAAGUUGGAAAGUGAAAAGUAAGCUUCCAGCUGGAAGCGGCUGCCCGAAGGGGCCAUCAUUAUUAUGCUGGAAGCGGCCGUCCGAAAGGACUAUUGUGAUACUAGCCGGAAGCGGCUGUCCGAAGGGACCAUUCUGUUAACAUGUCGGAAGCGGCAUGUGUAUUGGAUUGCAUUAUUUACUUAAAGAUUGUUUUGAGACUUCGUGUGCACAUUCAUGUUUCUUCCGGCAAAAGCUGCAGCCCCAGAUUGUUUGGCAGGUUAAGUGUAUAGCUAGGAGGCUUGGACGUCAGCUGCGAUUGGCAAGUUCCACCUCAGUCUGGAGUUGUGUUGAGUCAUGUAUAGAUAUGUAUGAUUAUGGGUUUGUCAGGGCCCUGUCCUGACUCAUAAUGUUCAUUUUACUUCUUAGAGACUUCUGCAGACAGUGUCAUGCGGUAUGUUCGUCGAGAUGUCGACAAAGUGAUAUCAGUUGAGUCAUUUGUGGAUUUUAAAAGAGUAUGUAUUUUAGAUGAUUUCAAUUGGUUUAAAGUACUUAUUUGA